GACGAACGCUGGCGGCGUGCCUAACACAUGCAAGUCGAACGGGGCUCUUUGGAUCGAGACUUCGGUCAAGUGAAUCUGAGCUUAGUGGCGGACGGGUGAGUAACGCGUAGGUAACCUGCCUCAUAGCGGGGGAUAACUAUUGGAAACGAUAGCUAAUACCGCAUAACAGUAUUUACCGCAUGGUAGAUGCUUGAAAGGAGCAAUUGCUUCACUAUGAGAUGGACCUGCGUUGUAUUAGCUAGUUGGUGAGGUAACGGCUCACCAAGGCAUCGAUACAUAGCCGACCUGAGAGGGUGAUCGGCCACACUGGGACUGAGACACGGCCCAG
rnacentral:rRNA from 1 species